rnacentral:rRNA from 1 species
GCUUGUCUCAAAGAUUAAGCCAUGCAUGUUCAAGUAUAGCAAGUGUACAGUGAAACUGCGAAUGGCUCAUUAAAUCAGUUAUAAUUUAUUUGAUAGUGAAAUUGUACAUGGAUAACCGUGGUAAUUCUAGAGCUAAUACAUGCUGUAAAGCCCGACUUCUCGGAAGGGCCGUAUUUAUUAGAUAACAGACCAGCAGCUUCGGCUAUUGUGGUGAAUCAUAGUAACUAAUCGGAUCGCAUGGGCUAGUCCCGCGACAAACCAUUCAAGUUUCUGCCCCAUCAGCUUUCGACGGUAGUGUAUUGGACUACCGUGGCUUUUACGGGUAACGGAGGAUUAGGGUUCGAUUCCGGAGAGGGAGCCUGAGAAACGGCUACCACAUCUAAGGAAGGCAGCAGG